GGGCUUAUAGCUCAGCUGGUUAGAGCGCUUCUCUGAUAAGGAAGAGGUCCCUGGUUCAAGUCCAGGUAGGCCCA
rnacentral:tRNA from 1 species